rnacentral:lncRNA from 1 species
AGAUGAAAACUGGAGACAAAAUGCAUGAGACCAACAUUGUAGAGAAAGACUUUUUUCCAACUGAACUGAGUGUAAAUCCAGAUAUUUCUUGCAAGUGCAUCAACCAGUGGCCAAUCUGAAAUUUGGGCAAUGUUCCAUUGUGAAGAGUUUAUGUUUCAUGUCUUUGGUACCUUAAUUGGGCCUCCAGCCAGAAAUUUGUGACUGUAAUUUCCUCACUCUACUAUGGACUUCUCAAUGGUGGCUGCAUCUGUAAGACAGUGAAGCAGGAGGAAAGAGAGCAAGGAGGAAAGAAAAAGCAAAGGGUUUGGUCCACCUUCUUAGAAUCACAGCUGUAUCAAAUGGAGAGGAUGGUUCACCUCCCUCAGGAUUUCAGCUAUUAGGUGUCAUAGUUGCCACAGCCCUGCCAUCUUGAGAUUGCCUGAGGUCUGAGGCAUACCAGAAGAGAAUGGAGUAUUUUCAUAUUCUCCCUCUGUGUUAGGAGCUCAUUUUCCUACUCAAACCAGAGCUAGACUGCCUCUCCUGGAGCUCUCUCUGUCUCUGCCCUAAGGGAUGCUCAAUACAGGUUUCUAGGUAUGUUGUAUUCUGGGUACCGAUACUGCAGGUUGGAGGAGAUGUAAAUUCAACACUGGUUGAUUUGGUGGUAACUUGAAUUCUGGUGUUCUCAAUAUGAUUCCUUCUACUAGAUAGUUUUUCUUUUAUUUAUUUGCUUUUUAGGCCCACACCUGAGGCAUAUAUAAGUUCCCAAGCUAGGGGUGAAAUCAGAGCUACUGCUGCCAGCCUAUGCCACAGCCAUAGCAACUUGGAAUAUGAGCCACAUCUGCGAUCUACACCACAGCUCACGGCAAUACCAGAUUCCCGGCCAACUGGGUGAGGCCAGGGAUCGAACCUGCAUCCUCAUGGAUACUGGUCAGACUCAUUUCCACUGUACCACAAUGGUAGCUCCUACUAGAUAGUUUUUAGAGUCUUUAAGUAGCUGUUGGAUGCAUUCUGUCCAGAUUUGAUAUUUACAUUUAGUAGGGGAGACACUAUGUGGUGUGCUAAUUCCACUUACAUUGAACCAUAAUCACCCAUUUGUUGGGUGUUUGUUGAAUACUUUCUAUUCAUAGGCACUGACCUAGAUUCUGGUGGUACAAUGGCAAGCAAAAAGACAAGGCUCUGUCCCAGAUGAAGCUUACCAUUAAAUGACAAAAGAUUUUUAUUAAUCAUCCUUCCUUUUUUAACACAACUUUUUUUGCCUUUGGCCUUUUUCAAAUCAGUGCCCACCUCCCAAUAAGGUUUUUUGAUUGGUCUAUCCUCUUCUACUCAGAAAUACUCAUGGAUAUCUAAAUUUUAUAGUUGAGACCUAACCUGAGACUUCUAUUCUGUUCUGUAAGGUAUAUAAAUUUAUCAUCACGACCUAACAGAGAAAACUACCUUCUAAAAGACUUCAAAGACUUCAGAUGUCCGGUAGGAAAUAAGAGGCAUAGAAAUCAUUGCUCCCAUCUAUACAGGAAAAAAAAAAAAGGCUGAAAAAACUAAAAAUCAACAUUAUCUCCUUAAAUCAAUCAGAGAAUCAGAGAGCUGUGGUUACAUGGAAAACAACUGCCCUCAUGGGAAUUCCUGUCAUGGCUCAGUGGUUAAUGAAUCUGACUAGGAACCAUAACAUUGCAAGUUCAGUCCUUAGCCUUGCUCAGUGGGUUAAGGAUCUGGCAUUGUCAUGAGCUGUGGUGUAGGUCACAGACGCUGCUCGGAUCCCACAUUGCUGUGGCUCUGGCAUAGGCUGGUGGCUACAACUCUGAUUAGACCCCUAGCCUGGGAACCUCCAUAUGCUGUGGUGCAGCCCUAGAAAAGACAAAAAACAAAAAACAAAAACAAAAACAAAACCCCAAAAAACACAACUGCCCUCAUGAAGAGAGAUACUGCUGGAUACAGAGACCACACUUACUGGAGCAGAAGACCAGGAAUAGGAAACUCCACAGGAUUCAGUACAGGUUCCUUUUACCCAGUAUAUCUUCUCUGGCUUUGUGUUCUGACACCAAUUGGGUGUCUUACAAUUCACUUCAACUCUGACACUAGCUAGUUGCAAGUCGCAUCAGAUUCCACAAAUUAAAGAGCAAGGUCCUCAAUAAGACUGCCUUUACUUCAGACGCCAGCCACCAGUGAGUUCUCCAGGCUACUCACACUUCUGCCUGGCUGACUACAAAUUGGAGCUUUCCCACAACCCCCUAGGGCUGCACCCAUGGCAUACGGAGGUUCCCAGACUAGGGGUUGAAUCAGAGCUGCAGCUGCCGACCUCUGCCACAGCCACAGCAAUGUCAAAUCCAAGCCACAUCUGUGACCUACACCACAGCUCAUGGCAACGUUGGAACCUUAACCCACUGAGCAAAGCCAAGGAUCAAAGCUGUGUCCUCAUGGAUACUAGUUGGAUUUGUUUCCACUGAGCCACAAUGGGAACUCUGGAUUUUUCACCAUAAGAAGAGAGAAACCCAGCAGUUGCUACAUUCUGCUGAAUGGCAUCUAUAAUUACCUUAACAUUCACAGCAGGACAAUGAUCAGAGAGUAAGCCAAUGCCUUCUGUGACUUGUAAGAACUGUGAAAAUAGGGAUUUUAAAAUUAGAGGUGGAAAGAAUUUUAAAGCUCUAUAAAGUUAAUAACUAUAAAGUUAAUAACUCCACUUCAAAAUAUAUCAAGCAAGAGUGAUGUCAGAGAAGACGGCAGAGUAGAAAGCUCCUGGAAUCUCUACCUCCACUUAAACAACUAUUGAACUGACAGAAACUCUCUAAAGUAAAUAAUUUGAUACUCUGGAGUCUAGGUGAAAAGUUGAUCUCAGUGAGCUUUAGCUUUCCUAUUCAGCAGUGGCUACCAUCUUCACACCUCAUUAUAGUAGGGAGCCAAGGGACUGCUGUCUGUGUUCUUAAUGUAGCUUUCUAGAGCCAAGGUUAGCAUUGAGGACAUGGUUCUCCAAAUAUUGAGGUUACGUGUUAUUUCUGAUUGCUACUUUCAUUGAUAAGUGCUCAAUAGCAUAUUUGAACAGGAAGCAGAAAGGAUCAGAAAAUCCAAAGAUAGGAUAGUUGAAAGUAUUUAGUAUAAGGAACAAAAAGGAAAAAAAAA